UUUAAGUUCCAUUAAAGAGACAUAAACUCCUAAAGUACUGGGCUAUGACAAACAGGCUAUACCCAAAGGACCAAUAAUAUGGCCCUUUUGUGACCGGCUUACCAUUUGUCUUCAUUAAAGCCCCCUCCAAAGUGUUUUUUGCUUUAAGUGCAAUUCAGUCUGCAAACAAAAGAAGUCCAGCUGAGUGCUGUUGCAUUUUCAACCUUGUGCCUCAAGACAAAUGAAGAUGACCCAAUCAUUUACAGCAACAUAUGGAAUCAUGUCGAUCUCUUGCGUUAUUAUGCAAUACCAGGAAUACCAAAGGACUUGCAUGCAACUUGUCAGGUGUUUCAAGAAGUGUUUCUUUAAAAAGUGUAUGGUCUAAUGUUGCAUUCUGGCCAGAACACUCCUGCAAUAUCUGCAUGAACAAUGUUUGGAAAAAGAAAUUAAGAAAGAUUUGGUUAGAACAUAGUAGAGUGUUUUCUCUAAAGCCCAGUAUGUUCAUACAUCAGAAAUUUUUCAUGUAUAAUGUCGAAAUUGCCUUAUGUUGUUGAGUCAUUCUAAACAUCUGUGCAGAAAUAACAAGGUGUCGUAACAGAGCUGCAACUUUUACUACAUUACUAUGGUUCUGUCUUUUAAAGUUCUUGAUUCCUGCAUAUUUAUCUGUUUCUCUGUCCCCAAACCAAAAAAAAGUGUACUUCUAAGGUCAUAAAGAGUAAUUAGGUAGUAUCUGACUUGACUUGUCUCUGUUUUGCCAGUCUGUCCAGUAGCCUAGUAAACAUUUUGGAACCAAGUGUACAAAUCCUGUGCUAUGGGCUCUGUUUUAAUAAUCUUAGCAGAUGGUUUACGACUCAGCCACACUGAAGUUUUAUUUUUAAACCACUUCACUUUUGCUAGAUUUCUGCCUGGCAUUCACACUAUUCAACCACUUUUAGCCCAGAAACAAGAGUUUUGCUAACUCAGGUGACCCUGUUUAAGGUUGGAAACUCUGUGGGGUUUACUCUUGACAUGCCAUAAUAUAAUUUUGGAAACGAUAAUGCAGGCACAUAGCCUGGAUGCCAGACGAACUUAGCCCCGCCCACAACAUUUGAGGUCGGGAAGUUCAGUCUGGAGUCGCUCCGUUGGGGAGAAAUUAUGCCCGACCGGGCCAAUCAGAUUGUCAGGGCGGGCUUUAUAUGAUGAUGGACAGAUGAUCAACGGUAACGUAAUCAACCACGUCAUCGAAUUGCCCUCGGGUUGAAUUCGUUUUCAACAAACAUGCCUGCUGCUGGAGAGGUGAGAUGUGUAGAUGCUGCCAUUGAGUCUGUUUUAGAAGACAUCGACAGCGCAUUCAUUUUGAAAGAGGAACAGAGAACAUGGAGGCGAUGCCAAAGCACCGCGCUAAUCCUUAUCGCGCCGGUGCUUGGCCGUUCACACCGGACACUGAAGCGACGCUGAACCGCCAGGCAGCGCUAAUAAUAUCACCCGUUAAUCCAGUAGAUUAAAAGCAUAUACUUACUUGUUGCUCCAACAUUAAGCAACAGCGUCCCAACAUUUGUCUUUCUUGGUGUUGUCUUUAUCCAACAUGUUCCGAGGAUCAUACAACUCACUGUACUUCUCCACUUCAAUUAUUAAUUUAAUUUCAUCCAUGUUGAAGAACUUCGCUUUCGCCCAGUUUAAUGUCGGUGUCGGGGGUAAAUUACGUAUUCUCCACUCAAGCCUAUGUGGAGAAUACGUAGCCCCCUCUCUCUCUCUUUUUAUCUGUAUCACUGCUUAUGUGGCUGUAGUGGAUGGGCAGAGGGGGACAUUUACUAAUGUCAUUGGUGAAAUUAAAACUCCAGGACAACAGAAGGGGACUUCAAAGUAUGGGAUGCAUAUUUCAUCAUUUAUAUCAUAUAAAAUAUGUCAUCAAUAUCGUUUAAAAUCGUUUUUCAGUGUGUUUCCUGGUGCGAUACACUUGCGUCAAGCGCAAAACAUAGACUCGACGCCGAAAUCGCUGCACGGCGCGAGGCGGCCUUGGCGCAGCGCUGCGUUUCAGCCUCCGGUGUGACCCGCACAAAGUUUUAAUAUGGGAGUGGAUGGGAGCCAGCUGUUAUUUAAGGCUUGGCGCUGCGCUGAAGCGUCGCUUCAGCAUAGCUUCAGCGUCCGGUGUGAACCCGGCGUUAGUAAAUAACUCACAAUGCGUUCGCUUAUCAUACGUCACAUACUAUGUUGCUCUGAUUUGUUGUAGGUCUAUCUAAUUGAGAGAAGAGGAAUUUUAUUUCCUGGUUCGGUUGAAACACGCCCCAUAAUCACAGCCCAAUGGAGCGGUCUCAGACUCACAUUCUGACUAGAAUUGUGAGUCUGACAACGUCAGGCUAGCAGGCACACACAUUUGCUUCCUAGCUGGAUCCUAUCAGUCAUGCUGUGUCCUUCCCUUAUUUGUCAUCAUAUUAGACUUCUAGAAGAAAACAAAUGGCAUCAGCCUUGACUGUUAGUGGUGAAUGCAACAUCUGAUACCACUUUAUAUAGGAGUGGGAAUUAUGGAGAUUUUUUUCAAGUAGGAUCACAAUUCACAAUCAUGUAUACUUUUUCAGGAGUCAUUGCCUGUAAAACAUAUGGGACACCACUGUAUACGAAUAUGAUUCCUUAUGACUAAUAUAUAUGGAUAGAAUCUUACAGGAAUAUUUUGACAAACAACGCUGUUAUUGUUUUAGAUAAAGAACAUCAAGCUUAAAACCCCUAAUCACCAUUAUUCAAUUCAAAUCAGUUUUAUUUGUAAUUUUAUUUGAAGAGCCAAAUCAUAAUAUACUUUACAUAUUUAGGUCGAGACCUUAAAUAUGAUACAGAAACAAUACAGUUCCCCUUAAUGAUAGAUAGAUAGAUGGAUACUUUAUUAAUCCCGUGGGAAAAUAAGAUCAUCCAGUAGUUUAUACACUUAAACACAUCACUGACAAACAUACAUAAAUCACAUGCGGAGAACAUAUUUACAGAUACAGGAAUGGAAUGCAAUGAUGUGAUGUGUCAGUGUCCAGUAGGAAAGUGUUCUUGUGCUGCUGGAGUGGAUAGUACAAUAAAAUAUAUCUAUAUAAAAACAACAGAAAAAAUAUAUAUAUAUAAAUAUAUAAGAACAGGGUUCGUACGGUCAUGGAAAACCUGGAAAAGUCAUGGAAUUUUAAAAUGUGUUUUUCCAGGCCCGGAAAAGUCAUGGAAAAAAAUGAUCUCCUAAAAGUUUUGGAAAAGUCAUGGAAAUUUGUUAUAUUAAUAUUUUCAUGUUGUUCAUUUUAGGGAUGGGCAUAAUUAAUAGACGAUGAGUUUCGUCGAUGAAAACUAUUGCAUGUUCGCUAUAUGGCAGGAAGUCGGAAUAUCCGAGUUGCCGUGAACGCAGCACAGCGAGAAUGUUAGCAGCUGGAGGAAGCAGCCCGGUGCUAGCCUCCGCUGCUCGCUCUCUUCAUGUCCGCACACGGACCGUCAGUACAUGAGGAGGGGAACCCGGACAGACCUGGGUCUGUGUGAGGGGUUCCGGGAGUUAGUGCGUGACAGUAACUUGACUGAGAGGUCUAGAACCGUCAAAUCCAGCUAGCUCCCAGCGGGGCUUAGUUCAAAGUAGGGGAGAGCGGGGUAAUGUGGGACAUCGGGUAAUGUGAGACACCCCCUGUAUCUAGGCAACGGAACACAUUUGUGGUCAUUUGACCAUUAUGUUUUCAAGCCCCUCUCAUUCCCCCCUUGUCAUGAAGCACGGUCUCACUUUACCCCACCUUGAAGCACAAGCUAAGUUUAGUCUUAAACAUAAUUUAGUGUUAUAUUACAUAAUAUAUGCUUAAUUUUUUAUGUGAUAAACAUUGUAGAAAAGCAAUCAUGCCAAGAAACUACUCCAGGAAGACAACCUGGGGCCAAACACCCCUCGCAGAGAUGGAGAGUGCAGCCGCUGAGGUCAUGCAAGGAAAGAAGUCCUUAAGAAAAGCUGGAAGGGAUAGAAAUAUUAACCCUCAAAAGAUUCACAAAGAAAAAAGAGAAAGGGAAAGUAAAAUCAGUAGCCUGGGGUGCAGUAACUGAGGCAAAGAGAAUUUUCACAGAUAAGAUGGAGGAGGAGCUUGCCAAACCAUUGAAAUAACUAGCUGACCAGUUCCAUGGCCUUGCUCCAGUUAAGUGCUGUGAACUGGCAUUUGAAUACGCAGAGAAAAACAAUAUCCCUGUCCCUGACAAAUAGACAGAGAAACAAUGUACAGGUAAGCUAGGGUGUGCAAGAGAUCACAUAAAAAAAAAAAUCAUAAAUGUGCUUAAUUGACCAAUCCCCAUGAUUCUGUUACUAGUCCAAUUUUAGUGGUUGUCAAUCUAGCUGUCGGGAUUUUAACUAUUACAACAUGUGUUGUUAUGGUAGUUUUAAAGUGGAAAAAGUUAGUGGACCACUUUACCCCGUAGCUGGGGUAAAGUUGGACACAAGACCACUUUUUUUAAAACAAUCAUAUUGUCACUGCCCUUUGUCCUGAAGACAUUUUGAUCAUUUCCAUUGCUAGAAAACAUCCUGAAUUAAUGGGAAAUGUGUCAAUUUGACUGAUAUAUCAUUUUAGCUCGCCUAGAGGUGAGCAUAUGUAAAAAAUGUCCCACAUUACCCCGCUCUCCCCUACAGCACCAUUAUUUUUUAAGUUAAACCAGUGAAUGAAUCCUGUUUAACUGCCAAAAGAGUUGUUCAUCUUGUAAAAAAGAUCUCAAUGAUUUUAAUAUAGCCUAUAAAUAGUGAAUUUUAAUAUGAAAAUAUUAAUGAUUAAUCGAAAAUCAAUCGUUAAUUCUCCCAACGAUCGAUUAAGGCAAUUUAAUCAAAUGCCCAUCCCUAUUUCAUUUACGCUGGUUUGUGUAAUUUAAGGUAUACUGUAUGCCUUGGAAUUCUCAUUGUUAGUUUGAAUACUACAUUGUCACUUUUUCAAGAAUACACAGAGAUUUUACAAAAUGUUCGGUCAUGGAAAUUUGGUUUAAAGUCAUCGAAAAGUAAUCGAAAAGUCAUGGAAAUCCAUUGGUCAAAAUGUGUAUGAACCCUGUAAGAAUAUGUAGUGGUAAAGUCUGUGCAUGGGGCCAGUAUAGCCAGUAAAGGGAUGGACAGUGGAUUGGUAUAUAAUAAUGAGAGGAGAUGAGAAGAGUAGAGAAGGGGAGGGCAGACUGAGGUAGACUCAUGCAGGGAUUCUCACUCCCCACCUCUACACUGACCCCCUUGAUGGAGACUGGAAGCAGAGGAAGCUGAGACCUCCUAAAGUCCACCAAGAUCUCCUUGGUCUUAGUGGUGUUCAGCUGCAGGUUGUUAUGUGUACACCAUUGCACAAAGUUAUCCACCUGGCUUCUGUACUCCCCGUCUUGGCCAUCCCUGAUACAUCCCACAAUAGCAGAGUCGUCAGAGAACUUCUGAGCAAGCAAAGACUAUGUGUGCUGCCAUCUGUUUAAACCAAUUGGGUUAACAGAGAAAAAAUUUGAAAAAAAGGAGUUUGUUGGAAAAGGCAUCAUAUUUGAGCUCUGAGUGGUUCAUAUUUGAGCUCUGAGUGGAUGUUAUAUUGAUAAUGGUAAGACAGAUAAUUACAGAUGAUAGCAGCACCUGUGAAUUUAACAAUGAUAAUAAUAAAGCAGCAAGCACCAAUAGUCAGGCCCUUGUAGUCUUUGCGCGUCAAGGGGUGCUGCGACUUGUGUGUAGUUGCUGGAGGUUGGUUGACGCAGCUUGGUAUUACAUAAUGCAUUGGCACAUUGCAUGAAGUAGUUAAAUGUCACAGCUUGUUGAGGUGUGCAUCCUGUUUGUAGUAGGUGAUGCUAGGAUUAUGUUGAAUCAUAGCAGAUGUGUUGUGCAGAUGAGAAUAAGUACAGUACAGUAAAAAUACUUCCUGUUUUAUUUCGGGGCAUGUUGUUGAACAAAAAAUUAAGAUGAGCACAACUGUUACUAAUGAAACAUUGAUGUUAUGAAAUCAACCACAUACAGCAAUUGAAGUUUGGUCAAUUUAAGCUUGUACAAUAAAAUGACAACUUCCUAUUUCACAGCAAAACUUCAUAUGUGAAGUUGAUAUGAUCAUUCUGUAGGUGUCAAUUAAAAUACAAUGCCAGCAAACAUCUGCUAAUAUAUGCUAAAUCUUAGCAAAAAUUACACAUUUCAAUCAGUGAAAUCAAAGACGUUGUAUGGCCCUGAUACAUAUACCUACCGAUUUCUUACAUGCCGGUGAAACAUGCUGCCAGGGCUACUUUGUUGAAAUUUUGAAGGGGUGCUUUUGUGCCAUUUUUUCACUUACCAUGUGGUUUAGCUCCUAAAAUUGUAUCAAUUGUAAAAACUAAACACUCAUAUUUGACACUUGCCACGAAAACUGCAUUAAAAAAAAAAGAUUCAUAAGCUUUCAUUGACCAUGUCAAAAGGGUCUUCUGACCAAAUUUCAGCUGGAUGUGGUGAACCUGCUAUGAGUCUUCAAAGUGUAAGAAAUAUAAUUUCUUGUUGCCAAUAGGGGGCGCUUAUUGCUAUGACUGAAUAUUUGCAUGUAGAUGUGUUCAUGCCCAGGGCCAGCCCUGAACAUAUGCAGGCCCUAAGCCGGAUAAGUUGAUUGGCUCUGUCUCUCAGGGAAUAGAAUUUUAAUAAAAUAAGGUAACAUAUGUAAUUUUUACCCUUGUGCAACUUUUUUUGUUUAUCUAUAAAUUAAGAUGGCAAUAUAAUAGUAUUAACAAUUAUCAUUCAAAGUUUUAAGCAGCUUCAAGAGAUUGCAGAUGUUAAAGGACCCCAGAUUAUUGGACCCCAUUCGUGUGAAAAGUGAAAAGAAUCACCUACUCUUCUUUGUUGGGAAAGAAGGAUGUGAAUCCCUUCUGGGUGACAAAUCCUGUUAAGAAUUAGAGCUGGUGAAAAGAGUGUAUUGCAUCAACACAGCGGUAGAUACACCUAAUGACUCUUUGGAAUUAAUAGUUCAAAUUAUGCAGAUGUUUUUAAGGGUAUUGAUGUACUGCCCUUCACGUACAAACUCCAGUGGAAAAUAGGCGCGCAGCCAGCUGUGCAUGGUACACACAGAUUUCCAGCCCCACUGAAACCCUAACCCCAGGUAGAACAAAGGAUAUUAAUGGACAGUUGAGAAUCUGUAUGGAUCACAAAAAUCUGAAUGAGAAUAUAAAACCCAUACAUGAAGAAAUCAUCACUGAAAUGGCAGGAGUCAAUUACUUCUCAAAGCUUGAUGCAUCAUAAGGCCUCUGGCAGCUUCAACUGGAUGAAAGUAGCAUACAGUCCUGCAUCUUUAACACACCAUUUGGAAGACAGUGCUUCCUCAGACUGCCUCUGUGCCUAAUAAAGUCAGCGCCUUGAAAUAAAGUAAGCGCUUGAAAUAUUUUAUCGAGCAUUGUAUGGGGCUCCACAGCCCAAGAGCACAAUGAGAGGCUUAACAGAGUGAGGAGCACAUAAGAAAGAAUGGACUGAAACUCAACAUGAGUAAAGGUGAGUUUCGAGUGCAGGAAAUACUCUUCCUCAGAAAUUUGCUCUCAGCACAAGGUGUCCGGCCAUAUGAAGAUGCAGAGGUAUGAUAGCAAAAGCCCAGAAAAUGUAUUUUACACAAUAUGUUCCUUUUAAUGGAACACACUAUGAGCUAGUAUGAAGGAGCAUCCAGUACAUCCAUACGGAACUUGCAUCAGGAUUGAGGAGUUCAGGAGUCGGCAGAGAAGAAAGAGGCUGAUUGAAGCGGGACAGAUGACAUGGAAUCCAUCCUUCUACAGCCAGGAGCUCACCGACCUGUGUGCCACACUUCAAAUAAGACUAAAAGUUACACUGGAUCUAACAGCUACACACCACAGACGUCUACACACUGGGGCAGGUUCAGACAGUCCACAAAGAACAUAUGACCCAGAGGCUGCAAAGAGACAUUUCAAGCUUCACCUGAUUAGUUUUUCACUGGCUAGGCAAGUUGUGUUUGUACAAUAUUUGUGCUUUAUGUAAAUAAAGCUUUGACUCAA